UAUUGUGAAGGUCAUUUUGAUUAAGUUGAUAAAUUAAUUGAUGGAAUGGUAUAUAUCCGUAACUUACUAUACCCAAACAUAGAACACCAUUUUGUUAUUUUUUGGGCUGGUUCGGGUUCCAGUCCGGUCCAAAGUGUUCAUCCUUGUUCUGUGGGUUGUGAGAAAAAUGGAGGGGAAAACGGAGAAGGAAAGCAAGAGUGUGAAGAAGACGGCGUGUGAUGUUGAGGCUCUGAAGAAGUGUUUGGAAGAAAAUAAAGGCGACUAUUUGAAAUGCCAGUCUCAUGUUGAAGCCUUUAGGUCAUCUUGCUCUAUCAAGAACACUAAUUCUUCUUCACCAAAGCUCAAAUCCGUUGUAGAGGACCUCUAGUAAGCAAUUUGAACGAAGAUUGGAAGACUGAAAUCCGUGUCUUUUGCUGCUAGCAGUAAUAAAACCACAAAGAAGAUUCAAGUAUAAGUCACGGCGUUGUUUGUAACAUUCCUCAAUUAAGGAUAUAGUUUUCUUAUCUUUGCUAUUUCUUCAGCUUUAACCUCUUUUCAGAUACUCUCAGUGAUCCCAGAAAUUUGUAGUUUGUGAAAAGUAGCAAGAGGGAACUAAUGAAGAAAACAAAGUGUUGGUGGAUAGGCAGUUGAAGAUUAUAUUGGCUGCUUUUAGCUUGUACAUGCAAUUAUUUCCUGUCACAAUAUGAAGAACUGAGUAAUUUAAAGUUCCAGUGGCAAAUUUAGUGACAAAA